GUGUAUACAUAGUUUUUGUUUGGUUUUGUUGUUUUUGGUACUUUUGCAUAAAAAGAAGCAGGCCGUAUUUAGCAUUCAGAAACGUUACAUGCAAACUGCCAAUGACCUGAGGUGUUUGUCUUACAGUAUUAUUCUGUUUUUUAUAAAAGUUUUAAAUGUGCUACGUUAUUGAACUCAUCAUAGAGUUCCAAUGUUCCUUGAAUGCACCACAAGUGGAGCGAAAAGCCAUGUGUGAGUGCGACGCUGCCUGCCAGUGCCAGCCGAGCUCAGCUGCCGAAAUGCGGCAUGAUGGCGGAAGGAGCGGUCGCCCUUUAUGUAGCUCCGGUGGCUAUCUCAAAUAAUGGACUUGUGAAAACCCACAAAAGGUUUGAUUGGUCAAUGGGGGUAGCGUGAUCAUGCUGCAUAUACAUGCGCAGAUCAUUUUCUUUCUGAUCCUCUGGAAGGAAGGACGGUCCUGUCGCUUCAGAUGCAUCGCUAAUCUGCAGAGUGUGCCAACUUUUAGGCCCGUCUCAUUACAUCGCUUUGUUUGAAGCACUGCGUUUGGUACUGGAGGAGGGGCGGGACAGCGGAGCUCACAAAGGGCUUCUGGGAAAGACCACAAACCAUCUUCUAGGCAGGUUUUAGUCAUUGGGACAGCAGCCCCAGCAAGGAAGCCCAGGCCGUUCGAUCUGCUGCCACGUCUACCAGCUCCUUCAGUAGGACUCCAAUGAAUUUCUUGGCCAACAUAAAGAGACUUAAUCCCUUUGGCAUGCCCUGGAUCGGCUCCAGGAUCAUCUCCCAGAAGGACAUGUCAGAAACAAUUCCCCUGAGAGGUGUCCAGGGGACAUUCUAACCAUAUGCCUGAACCACCUUAGCAGGCUCCUCAUGAUGUAGAGGAGCAGCAGCUCUACUUCAAGUCCCUCACAGAUGUUAGAGCUCCUUACCUUAUUUCUAAAUCCCAGGCCUCACUGUGUGGUUUUGGGCUGACAAUUUCUUGUCAUGAACAGAAUUGUGACAAUCAACGGGAAACAUGAGGCGAACUAACGCAGGUCUGUGGCUGUCCAGAGUGACUAGUCAAGCGACUACUUAUUGAGCACUCACAACUAUAUUCAGCCUCCAACCGCCUUCAAGCAUUGUUGGAAAACCUAUCACUUUUAGUGGCUACGUUGUUUUUGUUUUACCCAUGGUGAAGCCUUCUAGUUGUUUGCAUAUUGUUCCUUCGUAUGUGAAGUAUGUAGAUUUUGCAACCAGUUUUAUCAGUUGUUCUAUGUCAUCUGUUGUGAGGUUUGUUCUUUUGUGUAAAGUUUUAUCCUGUCUGAUUCAGUUUAAUAUGUUGAUGGUUAUUUGGGUUGGUGCUUUUUUGAACAAGGAUGUAACGUUGUAUUAAAUUAGUAUGUUGUUGUCUUCUGUUGUAACCUUUUUUUAGUUCUUUUGCCAGUUCUGUGCUGUUUUUGCUAUGAUGUGUUACCCAAUAGUGGGCUGAGGAUUUUACUGAUUUCUUUAGCCAUAUAGUAUGUUGGUGUACUUUUGCUGUCUACUAUUGGUCUAAGCGGGUGUUCUGUUUGCGUAUUUUGGGGUUUCCAAAGCUUCUUGGGAUUAUGUUGUAUAUUUUUGCCUUUUUCUUCUAGUGGUUUCAGUAAGUUUUUUUCAUGUUUUUCUUAAUGUCUUCUGUUGGAUCUUUUUUUAGUGUUUUAUAUGUAUUGAUGUCCUCUAGCAUCUGUGAUGAUUUUAUCAGAAGACCACUUCCACGGUUUCGUCACUAUCGGAAGGUAUCUUUUUCAGCUCGACUGAGCCUUACAUGCAGAUGAAGUUGGGUUCCUACCACAUCAGCUGGGUGCUUCGGCUCGAUUAGAACCAGUUGGCCUUUAACAAGACUAAAGCUUUUACAUGCAUAAAAAAUAAAAAAAUAAAAACAACAUCAGUCUAUUUAGGGCAACAGUUUGGUUUUCUGAUGUGCAUGUAAAUGCACUGACUGAGUCUGAAGUGAAGAUGCCCUUUGAGAUACCCAGCAGUUUACUGCAUUUGUGAUCUAGUUAUUUCAAUCAUUACCUAAAUUUCAUGACCAUAGGUGAAAGACCUGGAUCAUUGAUCGACUUUAGAAUUCAAGUCCUCACCUUAUGGCUUAGCUCCUUUUUAUUUCAGCACACUAAAUCAGUAUCCAUAUCUGCAUGGUAGGAAACUGGAGAGGUCAAAAGGAAAUCUGCACAUGGGGAGAACAUGCAAAAUUCACAAGAAACUGACAAGCAAGAAAUCAAACCCAGCAGUGGCAAGGCCACUCUGCAAGUCAGAUCUUCUGCAUGAUAUACUGCAGUGUGAACUUUUGUAUGAUAGACUGUUAUUCCCAGUAUUCCAUUUCAAAAUGUCAGUCUCAUUUUAUUCCCAUCCCUAAUUGUAUUUUACAUUGUCCUGAAUAUAUUUUAGCAAUAGCUUUGAUUCCUGUUAAUACAUUUGGCUGGAAGGGAGGCAUUUACAGAGAAAAGACCAAAACAGGGAACCACUGCAUCAUCCAAACCUCAAUUGUUUUCACCAUCUUCCACUAAAAUCCCCCAUGUAAUGCAACGGGAAUGCUCAGUUUGAUAGCCGUGCCAAAAAUUCGAACAACAAACCUGGUAAAGCUCAAUCAUUUUGACUUUCUUUUUUGAAAAAAAAAAAAAAAAAGGAAACCCGUGUUUUCACCACCAAUAACAAUACACGCCUGUUUGGGUCAACUUUAAUUACACACAUCGUUUUAAGGAGAAGCCAAUCUUUGAGGUCAAACAAGCUGGACUCGGUUAACAUGACAUAUCUAUUGCUUCAUAACAUUCUCUCUUUUCUCUUGUAUAACAAUCUUUCAUCUUGAUCCGAUUAUAUGAUACUGAAUAACAGUAUCAGGUUCCCUCAAAAUAAAUAAGCUCCUUUCGUAUUUGGAUAUCCAACAAAGUACCAUAUGCAUUGCAUGUGAGUGCCCUCUGAAAAGCAACUUGGUGAGUUAAAUGACUCACCCAUGAUGGGAGGUUGUAAGCACAGUCUACGUGAAAGAAAAGCUGUAGCAACUAUUGGUCUUUAAAAGAUUUUUAAAAUAUUUUGCUGUAAAAGAUGUAAAAAUCAGAAUUUUGUGUUCAACAAAAUGUGAAUAAAACACAUAAGAUGUGAGGAAAAAUAUAAGUCGCCUAACUGUUUGGAAAUUGCUAAAUUGCUAGAAAUCUUUCACUAAUCUGAGAUGCUUUCUAAAAACGUCCUUCACCCAUUUUUUCAAUACAUGUGCAGUGGUCUCUAGCAGGAAUGAAUGUCUAGUGAAUUUUACUAAAAGGGGAAAAAAUCUCCGGUGCGUCUUUUUCAGCACAGAAUUCAGCCAGAGUAGAAAGUAGCUUCAGACGACAAGAUUUGGAGUCCUAUUUCCUGAUAAUUAAGACAUCUUGCCUUUGAUUGGCUAACAGACACACAACUGUACCACUGAAUCUCUUUGCUCUGCAAUAUUGAUGUUUUAUCUCCCCCAAAAAAACUCAAGCCUGAAGGAGUUCUGCCGUGUGGUGGAGUUGCUAAUGCUAAGGGUUAACUUCUACUAGCCCAGACGUUCUCUGCCGUUUCCUGGAUGAUUAGAAACAGCGUUCCCCAUUGUGAGCCAAGAUGGGUGAGUUCAUGGAUCUUAAGUGACAGUGUGACGUAGAUAUGUUAGGCUUUUCAAAUCCUGGAGUGUCACCAGCUGUUUUCUAUCAGAAGCUAAUGCAGGAGAUAGGUGUAGGAGAUUAUUUUCAUGUUCAGCCUGCAUAAAAAACUGAGAAUGAUUGAUUAUAAUCAGAAAUAAUAUUUAAAAGUUUUUUUUCAGUGUUCCACACAUUUAACAAACAAAAGCACAAAGACAUCAAAGAUGUUUAUUGGCAUAACUAUGCAGAAGAAAUGUGUAUUUUUCUCACAAAAUUAUUUUCAUGAUGAAAAAGAUCUAUAAGCGUGCAGACCAGACAGACACAUGCAGUCAUUGUCCAAAAAGCUACACUGUUGAUAAUCGUAGACCUGCUGGGAAAACAGAUCACUUUCAUGUUAGCAUUCUACUACAUAUAUCUUCCAAAAAAUGUAAAUACAUAUCCACAUCUAUCUUUCACUGAUAGCAGCCCGGAAAUUUUUCUUCAUGUUUGGCACAAUAAAGACCCCAUGUCUGUUAUUUUCCUUCAAAGGCAGGCUGGGUUGUGGACUCAGAUGACCCUGGAACAUGUCGACUGUCUUUUUGUCCUGCUUGGAUGUGCUUGUGUGAGGAGAACUCCUGGGUGUUCCUGAACACAGCUGAUGUAUGGCUUCCUCCUUACCUACUGCAGACCCAGGUUACAUCUGCAAUUGCUGUAGUAGAUUGUGUUGAGUGAGCUCAUACGGCUGUUUUUGAAUGUCAGUUUUUGUAGAGUUCUUGCCUUAAUAAAAAAAAUUUCAAAAAAAUAAAUUACAUAGAAUCCAUACACGUUAUUGAUAUUUAUUGUCUUAUUUCUUCAAUCAUAAGAUAGUAAGCAUGCCCCCUGUCUAAACCUGAGUUUUUGAAAAUGUAUAAAGAAAGCAAUUUUUUUCAUGUGUGGUGAAAAGUCGACUUCUUUAUACCAGCUGUAAAAUGAAUGCAUGCAUAGUUCAGAAAGUCAUGCACCUGUGUCCCACAACUCACUCUGCAUUCCAGCAGUAUAAACAUGACAUUUAGUGUGAAAAUCUAUGUGUGGACUUAAAAAUAAGGUAUGGUUAUGAGAAAAAGAAAUAAAAACAUUUCUAAAGCUGUGAGGAUUUGCAUGAGAACAGUAGUCUGAAUCUUGUUGAAACAAAGCAUAUUCCAGAAGAUCUUAUUAAGACGACCUUCACUGAGAAACAAUAUUUUAUUAUUAAUUUUGAAAAUGAUAGAUCAUUCGGAGUUAAGCAUGUAGCCUGAAUGUAAAAAUUGUCUCCUACAUCUACUUCCUAGUUAGCUCCUGAUAGAAAAUAGAUGGUGAAGCUCUAGGAUUUGAAAAGCCUGACAG